CAUUGACCUGUCUAGACUCCUCAUUUCACUCCUAAAAAUGAAGUCCUUGUCUCAGAUCCUGUGGCUGUUAAUGCUCUGGAUCCAUGGAUCCAGUGGAGAUGUUGUGAUGACCCAGACUCCAAGGUCCUUGCCUGUCACACUGGGAGAGCCAGCCUCCAUCUCCUGCAGGUCUAGUCAGAGCCUUCUGCAUAGCAAUGGAAACACCUAUUUGCAUUGGUUCCUGCAGAAGCCAGGCAAGUCUCCACACCUCCUGAUCUAUUUGGUUUCCAAACGAGGAUCUGGCGUCCCAGACAGAUUCAGUGGCAGUGGGUCAGGCACAGAUUUCACACUGACAAUCAGCAGGGUGGAGGCUGAGGAUGUUGGAGUUUAUUACUGUUUUCAAAGUAUGUAUCUCCCUCCCACAGUGAUACAGACUUGAACAAAAACUUCCCAUCUGGCUGGGUGAGCUGCCCUCAUGGCUGGCUGGUCUGGGGAGCAGCCCAGCAGAUUGUGUGAGUCUGCCUAGGAGGAAGAUAUUGAGGUUUAUAUUAGAGUCACUCUGAGUAGAGGUGAAGAGUAUAUGACAAUACAACAAAAUGCAAUCUAUAACAAUCAGGAGAAUAAUUACCUGAAUAUAAAUACCAGAUAAACCAUUAGGUAUUUAUUGAAAAAUGCAAUUGUCUCUUCAGGAAUAUUAUAACCAACCAGAAAUCUAAAAAUCAAAUGUCUGCUGUGAUUAUUAUUCUCUCUGUGAUGAAACUUGUAAUACUUCAUUUUAACACAUACUAGCCUACAACUUUUGCCAUGCUUUCUGUUCAGAACCUGGAAGCCCAGUUGUGCCUUUUCUACCUUCUGCUCUGUGUGUUCAUCAAACCCUGCCUGACCAUCAAGCCAUUAUCAGAGUAUGAUCAAUGUCUCUUGGCUGGAUCAACCUGGGGAAAAUACAAAAUUCACAAAGCACAAUAUUCUCUGCUUCUAUGUACUGGGACUCUGGUUCUACUUAAGAGAGUGUGGUGAAACCCUGUAAUAUGGUUCAUAGUUCCCAGAAGUCUGAGACUGAACCCUUUUUCAAUGGAUGCUAUCUUCAUCUGUUCAACGUCUGUGUCUUUAUACAAAAAAAAAAAAAUUCAAGAGAGCAACAUCAAUCUUGUGUGUCUUGUAUCCACUUCUAUCACCUUAGACACCUGGAAUUAUGACAUCUCACAGGCUACAACUUGGGGAAUUCUCAAGUUUCCACCAGUGUCCAGUGUGUAUCUGCUUCUGAUGCUAUAAAUUGUUUCACCAUGAUGCUCUCUAUUCCAGCUGGGAAAAAGUGGCAUGAAGUUGGAAAUGCUCUGAUUUCAUCAAG